rnacentral:rRNA from 1 species
GACGAACGCUGGCGGCGGGCUUAACACAUGCAAGUCGAACGGCAAGGCCCUGCUUGUGUGGUCUUCUCGGUUGGCGAACGGGGAAGUAACACGUGAGUAACCUGCCCUACACUUUGGGAUAACUUCAGGAAACUGGAGCUAAUACCGUAUAGGAUCUCCUCCUGCAGUGUGGGCGGUGGAUAUUUUCAGCGGUUGUGGAUGGACUCGCGGCUUAUCAGCUUGUUGGUGGGGUAGUGGCUGACCAAGGCUUUGACGGGUCGCCGGCAUGAGAGGGUGACCGGCGACCUUGGGACUGAGAUACGGCGCAGACUGCUACGGGAGGCAGCAGUGGGGAAUAUUGCCCAAUGGGCGGACGUCUGAUGAAGAAACGUUGCGUGCGGGAUGACGGCCUUCUGGUUGUAAACCGCUUUAGCCUGUGACGAAGCGUGAGUGACGGUAAUGGGUAAAGAAGCACCGGCUAACUACGUG